UGUAAAUAGUGUACUGCUAAACUCUGGUUUAUAAUGUGUAUGUCUUACUAAAUUUUGAUGUAUAUGCUGUUUAGUGGACUUUAAAGUGUAGAUUGUAUUUAAUUACGCACAACACCAUUACCACCGAUACUAUAACCACUGACUAUUGAUACAGAGUUGUAGUAAUAUUGGUGGAUCGGGUGGUUUAGACGUUGAUUAACUGUACAGAUAAUUGUAUAGCUUUUGGUACGUUUUGACUUUGUUCUGUAUGUGUGAGAUGUCAUUAAUAUUGUGAAACGUGUGAGGAUCCUGUGUGUGUGUGU